rnacentral:rRNA from 1 species
UGCAUAUCCAAAAAGCGGAGGAAAAGAAACUAACAAGGAUUCCCCUAGUAACUGCGAGUGAAGCGGGAAAAGCUCAAAUUUAAAAUCUGGUGGUCUUUGGCCAUCCGAGUUGUAAUCUAGAGAAGUGUUAUCCGCGCUGGACCGUGUACAAGUCCCCUGGAAUGGGGCGUCAUAGAGGGUGAGAAUCCCGUCUUUGACACGGACUACCAGGGCUUUGUGAUGCACUCUCAAAGAGUCGAGUUGUUUGGGAAUGCAGCUCAAAAUGGGUGGUAAAUUCCAUCUAAAGCUAAAUAUUGGCGAGAGACCGAUAGCGAACAAGUACCGUGAGGGAAAGAUGAAAAGAACUUUGGAAAGAGAGUUAAACAGUACGUGAAAUUGUUGAAAGGGAAACGCUUGAAGUCAGUCGCGUCUGCCAGGGAUCAACCUUACUUUUGUGAGGCGUACUUCCUGGUUGAUGGGUCAGCAUCAGUUUUGGUCGCUGGAUAAAGGUCAGAGAAAUGUGGCACCUUCGGGUGUGUUAUAGUCUUUGAUCAGAUACAGUGGCUGGGACUGAGGAACUCAGCGCCGCAAGGCUGUCUUAGGAUGCUGGCAAAAUGGCUUUAAUCGACCCGUCUUGAAACACGGACAAAGGGAGU